rnacentral:lncRNA from 1 species
CUCACCUACUAGGCAGUUGUCCAUCUACAGGGCAUCUUCGUGCAAACUGAAAAGGAUGCCCUUUCUUCCAAAUGGCUGCAACCUUGAAGCAAAGCACACAGCUCAGUGAGUGGAGCAGGGCUGGAUUUCAUCCCUUGCUCAGCUGGGUGCUCCAGGGAGGAGAUUAUUACAGUAGAGUAGGCAUCUUCUGUUUCUCAAGGAUUCUGAGAAACAAAUACUUCUGUUAGUCUUACAAGAUACAGGGACAAAAAUUGAGGUUCAGGGCCGUUUAAGGAAGAGAGGUGGAAAAAGUGCUGAUAAAUAGCCCAGGCUUUCAGUUGGGAUGCUCAAAGAGCUAUUCCUGGGAGUACAGCCUCACAAAUACUGAAACCCAGACUCUAAUCUCCCCAAUAUCUGCAUGGAUUAAGCCCUCCCUCCCAGCCACCUCCUCAGUAAAGGAAGUGAGUCAUCUGCCCCAUGGAGAUCAACCCAAAAGCCCUUCAAAUAAUUGUGGAAUAAGGCAUAGAAGGACACCUGAGUUUCUCCAGUCCAGCGGAGGCCCUUGCAGAUGAACUGAUUCGUUCAAGGUGGAAUAUGCGUUUCAAGUAUCCCCUGGAAUUACAUGAGGCUUGGUCCCUUGUUAAAGGAAAGCAGGUUACGAAGAUAUGGGGUUGGAGACAGGAUGCCUUCUCAGUAGCCAUGAAGUUGACCCUUGCUUGACUCAUAAAGAAAACUGGACCUGAGACUGCUUCUUAAUCUCAAAGCCCUUGGGCUUCAUUCCCUGUUUGUCUGCUCAGAUGUCCCCUCUUACACCAAAUUUCUACCAAGCUACCUGUUCCUUGGAGAUUCUGCUCGGAGGCCUGGGUCUCUCACCACAGAUGUCAAUAUGUGUUGGGCUGGUAGCCACCUCUCCUGGGUUCUGCCGCUAAACGUACUCCAGGUGGCCCAGCCUUCUCAAAUAUCACAGUUGACAAAGAAGUGGAUGUCUCUAGAGUGCAUCUAGGACCAUCUUUCAGCAUCCUAUUGUUGGAAAUGAAGUUGGGGACACCUGCUGAGACACAAAAGCAGCUGAAGUCUACCCAACCAUGGAUCGUGGCAGCUCAUGCUCACAAGGGCAUUUGGGGUAGGAAUUGAGGCUCCAUUCCGUGCAUUGGGAAGGAUUCAGGUAGAGGCCCCUCACACAUGGACCUACAGGAGAAGGAUAAGAGGAGCUCCAUUUUGCCUUCAAGGCUCAAGUCUACCUGGUGGACGCCACUCUCCAAUGGGUGAUUUAAUUAAAGGGAUCACACACACCAUUUUGGUGAGGGAGAUGUGCUCUCUCCAGCAAAGAGGCAACAGAACUUCUCUGGUGCAAGGGCCGGGUCAUAUCCACCCAUACUCCUACUCAAUUACAAGAACAAACACAAUGAUCGUGCUGCCAGCAGUCAUAAUAAUAAAUAGCAAACCUGUAG